rnacentral:rRNA from 1 species
GAUGAACGCUGGCGGCGUGCCUAACACAUGCAAGUCGUACGAGCUCGAUCUUCGGAACGGGUUAGUGGCGCACGGGUGAGUAACACGUAGGUGACCUACCCCAGAGUGGGGGAUAACUUCUCGAAAGAGAGGCUAAUACCGCAUACACUCGGUCAUUCAUUUGGCCGAGCAAAGCUCCGGCGCUUUGGGACGGGCCUGCGUCCGAUUAGCUAGUUGGUAGGGUAAUGGCUUACCAAGGCUUUGAUCGGUAGCUGGUCUGAGAGGACGAUCAGCCACACUGGCACUGACACACGGGCCAGACUCCUACGGGAGGCAGCAGUGAGGAAUAUUGGGCAAUGGGCGAAAGCCUGACCCAGCAACGCCGCGUGAGGGAUGAAGGCCUUCGGGUUGUAAACCUCUUUCUGGGAGAAGAGACAAGGACGGUAUCCCAGGAAUAAGUCUCGGCUAACUACGUGCCAGCAGCCGCGGUAAU